UUAAUUACUUUUGAAAAUAAGUAAUCAGUAAAGUAAUGUGAUUACUUUUUUUGGGAAUUAAUUGGUAAUUAGUUACUGAUUACUUUUUUCAAGUAACUUGACCAACACUGUUGGUCACUGACUGAAAUAUUAUGUGACAGAUUAGAAGGUGGGCAUUUUGUUAGUGUGAUGUCAAGUUUAUAUUUUUUUAAUGAUUUUCCAUGUUUUCAUGUGUUAAGUGCAUAUUCUAAAUUAUUAUCAUUAAAUUCUGAGUUUUUUUUUUUUUUAAUGUUCUAGUCUUGUUGAGUCCCAGUUUCCAUUGUCUCAGUGGUCAUGAUGGUACUUAUGUGAAUGUUUGAGUAUAAAACUUACAAUGUUUACAGUUUUAAACCAGUCAAGCAGACAUGUCAGCACUGCAGCUAUUAAUAAUAGCUAUUAAAACAAUACCUCUUUUUAUACUAGAAAUGUAUUCUGGUACUGCCUUAAGUUUUUGUUUUGGCUGCUUCACUUUUGUAAAAGGUUAAUUAGCAUAUUUAACAGCUGUUUAUAAACAAGCUUCUAAAGUCAUGUCAAUGAAACCCUCUGUUUUGUGUUGAAUUCAUUUGAGAACUACGAGUAUACAAACUUAAGACAGAAAGCAAAGUCAGCAAAAACAGAAUUUAUGAAAUGUGCAGUGUCAAAGGUCACAUUAUACUUUCAUGUUUUCGCAGAUCUGUUGAUUUGCUGUUUGCAGUUCAGGAAAACUUGAGGUGUUUUCUUACAUUUAAUGUAAAUGACUCUGAAUUGGAUGGUGGCUGGUUGGAGGGCAUACUGUAUGUAUUAUUACAUGUUGCCUACCUUCAGUACCGGAAGGGGGCCACAGCAGCGUGUUGUUUUAUUUUUAUUUUAGGAUAGAAACUGUUGACUCAUUUUGUCUGGAUCUUGUUGCUGAAUUUGCGUUUCGAUUUAAUAAUGGAUGUAAAGAUAUUUUUCGCCUUUUGCAUAGCUGAGUAUGGUAAAUUCAGUUACAUAAAUUUUAAUCCUUGUUAGCAUUAGCAACACUUGCGUGUGUAUUUUAAAUCUACACUUUAUAUUAUUUAUCAAGUUUUUGUUCUUUUCUUUAAACCUAACAAUGAAGACAUGACACUUUCUGUUUUCUAAACCUUUUGAAAAAGUAAGAUCAGUAAAACUGUUUUAAUUUUUAAUGUAUAUCCAUGCACUGCACAUGAUAACAGUGGUUCUCAAGCUGUGGAACAUGGACCAGGUAUUGAAGCAUCAUGGGAAAAAAAGUUUUUGAUUGUUUUUUGUUGCUUUUGUAAAGGUCAUUAAAAACAAGAGCCUGUUGCUCUUAUUGCCAACUUUUAACUAAAAUUCAUCUUGUAUCUUUUUGAUUUGUUAAUGACUGUUUAAUUACUUGACUAAUUACAAACUCCUUGGUGUGGGCACAAAACAUUUUUUUUAAUUAUUUAUUUUUGCAUUUUGGCAUGUCAGAAAGUUUGAGAACCAAUGUGUUAAAGCAGAAAACUAUUUAUCACCAUUAAUUAUUAUUAUAUUUUAAUACCAAAUAGCCUAUACUGGUGCCUCAAAUGGCUGAAGAAGUUUUACAUUUAUUUCAUUUUUUUGUGUGUGUUGUUUUGCUCUUUUUGUAGUUUUAGAUCUGUUGCAGUGUUUGAUCAAUGACUGUAGAAAACAUGGACGACGUGAUAGCUCCCAAAAAAUGAAGCCAAAACGUCUCUGUCGCCCCCUGGUGUCUGGCUGAAGUAUAGGUCAUAAACCUCGCCUCCUCCAUGUUAGUGGAUAUGAUUCUUUCUUUUGUUAUCAAUAGUUCUCAUCGCGUUGAUUCAUGUCUAAGGGGUCUCCUUUCCCAUAAGUUUGAUUCUAAUUACUAACGGGGCGAUGUUAAAUUGGGGUGUAACGUCAUCAUAGCAGCUUUGACUGACAGCUGCAGUCACGGGGAAACUUGCGUAUCUCUGUUCAGGAAUAGCAGAUCGAGCAUAGGCUCUGAGAGGAGGGCCAGCGUUUACGUUACAAAACCACGACCGACUGUUUUAACCUGACAGCCUGAGGUGUUCUUCAGUAAACUGGACAACCCGACAGAAGGAUCCGAGGCCCUGCUGCACUUUUUCAGAGCUGCCCUCAGAUUUGGACCUCAGCACCAACCAGUGACAGCAGACAGAUCAUCCAUCAUGUUCACAUGUUAGCUGCAAAAUGAACUGAUGAAAACAGUACAAAGGUUAAAGUACCACAUGUGCUGUCAGUGAAAGCUGCAGCUGUUUUAUUGACAAAGUUAAAGACAACAAGUCAAAAGGACUAAUCACCCAUGUAACUGUGUCACUAUAUAUCAGCAUUAACAGGACCUCAGCUUGGUUUUUCAGCGAGCUGCUGAUCUCAGACCUGCACAGCUUCUGUUUUAAACACUUGAUGUACUCAGCUGCAUGAAAAGCACAGCUGAUUUUCUCUGACACAAUUAAAUAAAACCUGAUGAAGCUCAAAGGUCAUCACUUGUAUGACAAACUUGUGAUCUGGAAUUCCUUUACAGUUUUUUGCACAUUAAAAAAAAACGAGUAUUUAUAACAUUACACAAACCAAAGGUCUCCAUCACAGUGUUCAUGAAAUGCUGGGUUUAUCCAUCUCCUGGGGUCAGCCUGCGGUGGAGCUCUGAAGAUUUCCCUGUGAGGGAGCUGCUGGUGAAGAUCAUGAGUCCUGCUUGAUCAGUGCAAUGAGCUUCAGUGUUCCUGGUGAUUCUUAAAUAAAGCCUCUCUCAGUGGGUCAACAGAACAUCUGGCACAGGACAGCUGUGCCAGAUGUUCACCUACAACCUCACAUGCAGUCAGCCUGGCAUCCAGAGCCACACCACCAAUCUCAGGAUUUUCUGUAAGUCAGGUGUGGCCAGUGCUAUCCUCUAUGAUGUUGCAUGCUGGGGCGGCAGGUUGAAGGUUGAAGGAUGCCGACAGAGUCAAUAAACUGAUCCAUAAGGCCAGUAAUGUUGUGUGUAUGGAGCUGCACUCUUUUAAGGUGGUGUCGAAGAGGCCAUUUACCAUUUACAAUGUUGUCCAAGAUAAGGACAAUGUUGGACAAUACCAAUACCUCCCACCCGGGUGAAUUUUGUACAUUACAUGAAUUAAAUAAAAUAGACAAUCUGAAAUUUUUAAAUGAAAAAUCUGAAAUGUACAUUGUCCUGGUGGGUGUUAGAGUGUCUAGAAGAGUCCUGUCUCAGUCGGUUUUGUUUUCUGUUUUUCUUAAUGUUACUGUACUGGAGCAACUGUAACUCGCAUAAUUUCCCUAGGGAUUAAUAAAGUAUUCUGAUUGUGAUUCUGAUAAAGCUUGAAGCAGCUCUGGCUGUUAGAACCAGCACUGAGUACUGUUAAUUUAUACAGUGUUUAUACAGCAUAUCCUUGCCUGUGAUUCAUUCAUCAGGAGAUUUUUUUAUGUGCACAUGUUUUCAGUUAUUGUAUCUCUUGGCUUAAUUACAGCCUUAGCAGCAUCUCUAAGAAGAAGACCGCUGUAAACCUUUUGCCAAUAAUCAGAAAAAAAUACUAUUGAUCCAGGUGGUAUUCUUGGGAGUUUAACACUAAAACUGAACUCAAGCAGUGAAUUCUCAUCAGACUGGAUUUAAUAAUUAAUAAUGCAUCUUCUCUCUACCUAUCUAUUCACCUUGUCUGUAAAUGUCAUGGUUGGCUGUGUGGCAGGCGGGCAAGCAGGAGUGGUGGAUCCAAAAUGCAGGACUCAGACACAGAAGUUCAACUUAAAGCGCAGCUUUAUUGCUGGAAAACCUCUUACUAACUAAACUCACCAAAAGACAAACAAAAA